ACCAACUUGCUAUGACAUUUACAGUGUAUUAUCCUCUUGGGUGAUGACAGAUAACGCCCACCUUGAACAAAUAUCUUAGGCAUGUGCUGGGCAAGCUGUUGAUGGCACAUCAUGAAUGCAUCUCAUCCUAACUGCAUAGUCAGAAGACAAAUAGUUGAAGUCCCAUCCAGGACAAUAGCCACUACCUUCUUGAUGUUAACCUUGUUCUGCCACCAUCUACCUCAGAGUGGCUGGCAGAGAUUAUAAACUUCUCCUGAUGCAAUCAGGCAGAUUAAAGGUCACAGGGACCACAACAGAAAUGUUUCAACAACAGACUAAAAGCUACUAACUGAAUCCCAGCUUCUAAGCCAUUGCCCACUAACCUCUUUUGAGACUCAAGAGACCUCACCAGCUAGCUGAGCCUGGAGACCUUGAAAUCCAGAGGUAGCUACUGCAGGCUCUUCCCGGGUCGUGCCUGCCAUCUUGUGGAUAUAAAUGGUAACUACACCGAGGCUGGGCUCAAAACCCCCUUAAGGAUCAAAGGACUUUGUUCCCUUAGUGUCAAAAGGAAUUGAUCUUGCUUCUGCAGUCCUGAGGGUCUGCUCCAUACUGAUCCUGACAAAGGCAUUAGGGUACCAGUCUCACAUCUUCUAUAAACCCUUCUAUCCUUCAGACCUCUUAGCUUUUUCACAAGCGCUUAUUAAAUGUUCUGGAAAGUUGAGAAUCUAAGCUAUUCAAACCAUGGACCUAUGAUUAACUUGGAGGAGACACCUUAAUU
rnacentral:lncRNA from 1 species